rnacentral:rRNA from 1 species
CCUACGGGAGGCAGCAGUGGGGAAUAUUGCACAAUGGGGGAAACCCUGAUGCAGCGACGCCGCGUGAGUGAAGAAGUAAUUCGUUAUGUAAAGCUCUAUCAGCAGGGAAGAAAAUGACGGUACCUGAGUAAGAAGCCCCGGCUAACUACGUGCCAGCAGCCGCGGUAAUACGGGGGAUGCGAGCGUUAUCCGGAUUUAUUAGGUUUAAAGGGUGCGUAGGCGGCGCUUCAGGUCAGCGGUGAAAUACCGGGGCUCAACCCCGGGGCUGCCGUUGAAACCGGAGCGCUAGAGUUCCGAUG